ACUGUUUGUGUGAGAGCCUGAGAAAGAGCCGAAGAAGAAUUAAGAAUUUGUUUGGUUAUAAAGAGAGAGAGAGAGAGAGAUAAUGCAGAUCUCUAUCCCCUUUUUUUAAUGAUAGUGCAGUCUUUGCUUUGCUUUUUGUCGUGGUUGCUUGAGUUCAUUUCAUUUGAGGGAAGCCAUGAAAUCCAAAAUGGAAGAACUUCGUGUUGUGGGUUAGGGUUCCCUUCGUUAUCCCAGCGGAGAAUUGCCGAAUAAGGUCUGGUGGAUCUUUCUCUAGCUGAAAAGCUGUUAUGGCUACACUUCUUGACAUUGGUGUUUCAGCAGCUAUAAACAUAUUGUCUGCAUUUGCGUUCCUGCUGGCAUUUGCAAUACUGAGACUGCAGCCAUUUAAUGACAGGGUUUACUUCCCUAAAUGGUAUCUUAAAGGACUUAGAAGCAGUCCUUCAAGUAAAGGUGCAUUUGUCCGGAAGUUUGUCAAUCUUGACUACACAUCAUAUCUGAGGAUUUUUGCUUGGAUCCCUGCUGCCCUCAAAAUGCCUGAACCCGAGCUGAUUGAACAUGCGGGAUUAGAUUCUGCUGUUUAUUUACGGAUUUACCUUUUGGGGCUUAAAAUAUUUGUUCCUAUUGCUUUCUUGGGAUUUGCAAUUUUGGUACCUGUGAACUACACAAAUGAUACUCUUGAGACGAUGAAGGUGGAGUACAGCGAUAUAGACAAGCUUUCUAUAUCAAAUAUUCCUAAUAGAUCCGACAGGUUUUGGACCCACCUGGUGAUGGCAUAUGGAUUUACAUUUUGGACUUGCUAUGUGUUAUUAAAAGAAUAUGAGAACGUGACAUUAAUGAGGUUGCAUUUCCUUGCAUCAGAGAUACGCCGUCCUGAUCAGUUCACUGUCCUUGUCAGGAAUGUGCCACCUGAUCCCGAUGAAUCUAUUAGUGAACUCGUGGAACACUUUUUUCUCGUCAAUCAUCCUCACUAUUUAACACAUCAGAUUGUCUAUGGUGCCAACGAACUUUCUAAGAUUGUUAAAAAGAAAAAGAACAUGAAGAACUGGUUGGACUUCUAUCAGUUGAGAUAUGAAAGAAAACCAUCUAGAAGACCAACCCGUAAGACUGGUUUUCUUGGUCUGUGUGGCAAGAAGGUGGAUGCAAUUGAAUAUUACACGUCAGAGAUUGCUAAGCUAUCCAAUGAAGAGGUGGAAGAACGGGACAGGAUUUUGAAACAAAAAUCCAUUAUUCCUGCUGCAUUUGUUUCAUUUAGGACACGAUGGGGAGCAGCAGUGUGUGCUCAAACUCAACAAACUAGAAACCCAACAGCUUGGUUGGCUGAGUGGGCUCCAGAACCACGUGAUGUUUACUGGAAUAACCUAGCCACCCCUUUUGUCCAACUUACCAUUAGAAGGCUGAUAGUGGCAGUUGCAUUAUUCUUUCUGAUAUUCUUCUUCAUGAUCCCUAUAGCUUUUGUGCAAUCUCUUGCAAACAUAGAAGGCAUCGAAAAGGCUGUUCCAUUUUUAAAGCCCUUAAUUGAGAGGAAAUUAAUUAAAUCAUUCAUCCAAGGCUUCCUUCCAGGUAUUGCACUAAAGAUUUUUCUUAUCCUGCUGCCAACAAUAUUGAUGCUGAUGUCCAAGUUUGAAGGAUUUGUGGCAUUAUCAAUCCUUGAGCGAAAAGCAGCAUCGAAAUAUUAUUUCUUCUUACUUGUAAAUGUAUUCCUGGGGAACAUAAUUGCUGGAGCUGCAUUCCAGCAACUCAAAACUUUCAUUCACCAGUCAGUUAAUGACUUUCCAAGGAUUAUUGGUGUUGCAAUUCCAAUGAAAGCAUCAUUUUUCAUAACUUUUGUCAUGGUUGAUGGCUGGGCUGGCGUUGCUGGUGAGAUACUAAGAUUUAAACCUCUGAUAAUCUAUCACCUGAGAAACUUCUUUCUUGUAAAAACUGAUAAGGAUAGAGAAGAAGCAAUGGACCCUGGUAGUUUUGAUUUUGGAUCAUCUGAACCUCAGCUGCAGCUAUAUUUUCUUCUUGGUCUUGCCUAUGCUGUGGUCACACCGUUCUUGCUUCCCUACAUAAUAAUAUUUUUUGGCCUGGCUUAUAUUGUAUAUCGUCAUCAGGUAAUAAAUGUUUAUAAUCAAGAAUAUGAAAGUGCAGGAGCGUUCUGGCCGGAUGUCCAUGACCGCAUAAUCUCUGCGCUGAUCAUUUCACAAGUUCUUCUUUUUGGUCUGUUGAGCACCAAAGAGGCUGCUGAUUCAACGCCUUUCCUCAUUGCUCUUCCUAUUCUGACGAUCUGGUUUCAUAAAUUUUGUAAGAGCCGCUAUCAGCCAGCUUUCAAAAAGUACCCACUACAGGAAGCCAUGAUGAAAGAUACCUUGGAACGUGCCAAGGAACCAAACCUGGACUUAAAAAAUUAUCUUCUAAGCGCAUACAUCCACCCAGUAUUCAAGGAAGUGGAGGAAGAUGACAGCUUUUCUUGUGUUGACAAGGAUGGAGAGUUUGAGAAUGUGCUGGUGCCUACCAAGAGGUCGUCUCGCAGGAACACACCAGCUCCCAGCAAACACAAUGGGUCAGCAUCGCCUUCUCUUUCAGAAAUUGGUCGAGAGCAGCAGUUGUUAAUUGGUUAAUCUCUGUAUAGUUGUGUUCGCAUGUACAUUAGUCCUACUUACAACAUUGCUUCAUUUGAGAGGCCUAGCAAGCGUAAAUCUACUGCUGGAGGGAUAGUUGUAGAUUUCUAUGAUUUUAUCUAGAUGUACUAUUAGAAGUCUUAGUUUGCUUAUUGUGCUGCACAUUGAUGUAUGAUAGGAGAUAUGACCAUGAAAUGCUGCUGGACAUUUUUGUUUUGAUGAGUUUUUAGUGCCUGUCAAUCUGUUAGAUGAUGUAAUAUUAACGAUCAUAAUGAAUAUGUUUAGUGAGUUUGUUCUGCUACUGAAUUUUCAUA